CCUACGGGAGUCUGCAGUGGGGAAUAUUGGACAAUGGGGGGAACCCUGAUCCAGCCAUGCCGCGUGUGUGAAGAAGGCCCUCGGGUUGUAAAGCACUUUCAGUGAGGAAGAACGCCUGGUGGUUAAUACCCAUCAGGAAAGACAGCACUCACAGAAGAAGCACCGGCUAACUCCGUGCCAGCAGCCGCGGUAAUACGGAGGGUGCGAGCGUUAAUCGGAAUUACUGGGCGUAAAGCGCGCGUAGGUGGCUUGAUAAGCCGGUUGUGAAAGCCCCGGGCUCAACCUGGGAACGGCAUCCGGAACUGUCAAGCUAGAGUGCAGGAGAGGAAGGUAGAAUUCCCGGUGUAGCGGUGAAAUGCGUAGAGAUCGGGAGGAAUACCAGUGGCGAAGGCGGCCUUCUGGACUGACACUGACACUGAGGUGCGAAAGCGUGGGUAGCAAACAGGAUUAGAUACCCGAGUAGUC
rnacentral:rRNA from 1 species